AAACUGCAGCAGCUCUAUUACAUUGAAACAGAAGGAUGAUGGGAGGGAAAUUCCUUUGGGUUCUUUGCUUGCCUAUCAAGAGGACAUCAGUCAAAAAUGCCAGUCUGAGGAGUUUGAAUUUAAUCCUGUGAUUCAGUGAUCCCAAAGGCGCUGUGUCUUCUCAAAAGAUGCAAAAGAUGGUAUGCAUCUUGUUCCUCUUUCAGACACAGGUGAAAAUUGAAGUUUCUAGAAACUGGAGUUUCCUUCUCAUCUUGUUGGCAUCUUCCCCUGGGGAGAGGGGUAAUACCUCCACAGGAACCUAGAGGUGAUGGUGUCCAGUAGCCAUGAGAUACCUGCUGCCCAGAAUGGGUUUCUAAAGGCUAUUAAAA